rnacentral:lncRNA from 1 species
UGUAAACUAAAAGUUCUUUUUAUUUUAUUAUUUUAUUGUCUUCUAUUUUACUCUUUUUAUAAUUUCCAUGUCUCUGCUGAGACUCUACAUGAGUUAAUUCAUUAUGAGAAUAUUUUCCUUUACCCCCAUGAACGUACUUAUAAUAGCUGCCCUGAAAUACUUGUCUGCUGAUUACAUCAUCUCGGACAUCUUAGAAAUAGCUUCUGCUGCCUGCUUUUUAUCUUGUGUAUAGUUUGCAUGUUACAUUUCUUCACACAUUUUAUGAAUUUUAAUAUUGUGUAAUAGAAAUUAUAAAUAUUAGUUAUAGAGACUAAAUUCUGUUGUAUUCUUUGGAAGAGCAUUGUUAUUAUUUGAAGAGGGGGUAAAUGUGGCUGAAUUCAAACAGAAUAAUUAUCUUCCCUACGGUGGGAAAGGUUGAAAUUCUCAUUCAGUCACACACACGUAUGUAUGUAUUGUAUAUAGAUGAAUGUUUCUAUGUAACUAUAUAUAAUAUUUUAUCCAGAUUGUAUCAUUGUUAUCUGUGAGAGUGUUAGUUUAGCAAGCUACUCCAGUAUUACCGGAAGCCAGAACUUCAGUUUUGUUUUCUUACUGGAUUUUAUGUAAAUGAGAGUAUCUACUAUGGAUAGUUUUACACCUACUUUUUCUUUUUUUCUUUUUUAGUUAUUUGAGACAGAGUCUCGCUCUGUCACCAGGCUGUACAGUGCCGUGGCCUGUCUCGGCUCACUGCAACCUCCACCUCCUGGGUUCAAGCGAUUCUUAUGCCUCAGCCUCCCAAGUAUCUGGGACUACAGGCAUGCGCCACCACGCCCAGCUGAUUUUUGUAUUUUUAGUAGAGACGGGGUUUCACCAUGUUGACCAGGAUGGUCUCAAUCUCUUGACCUCGUUAUCCGGCUGCCUCCUCCUCCCAAAGUGCUGGGAUUACAGGCGUGAGCCACCAUGCCUGGCCACAUCUACUUUUUUAAAUGUGUCAUUAUAUUUGUGAUAUUGUCAUGAUGUUUUCUACUUAUAUUUUAUUCAAAAAUUUUAUACUUUAAGUUCUUACCUUUAGGUCUUUGAUGCAUUUUUAUUUGUUUAUGGUGUAGGGUAAAUGUUCAACUUCAUCCUUUUGCUUGUGGAUAUCCAUUUUUUCCCAGCACCAAUUGUUAUAAAGACAGUCCUUUGCCCAUUGAACGGUCUUUGUAUCCCCAUCAAAAAUUAUUUGACCAUAUGCUGCUUUAUACUGUUCCAGUGUCCAUAUGUGUGUCUCUUUGCCAGUACCACACUAUUUUGGAACUUUGUAUUAAGCUUUGGAAUGAAUAAGUGUACAUUUUGUAACACUGGACUUCUUUUUCAAGAUAAUUUUGACUCAUUGGGGUCCCUUGAGAUUCCAUAUGAAAUUUAGGUAGGAUUUUUCUAUUUCUGCAAAAUAGAAUUUUUUGCUUUUUUUGUUACUCCCGACGUAUUUUAUUCUUUUCAGUGCUAUUGUAAAUGUGCUUGUUUGCUUAGUUUUGUUUUCUAAUUAUUCAUCAUUACUGUAUAGAAACACAAGUGAUAUUUGCAUGUUAAUUUUGUAUGCUGCUACUAUGCUGAAUUUAUUAGUUGUAAUACUUUUUGUGUGGAUCUGUGAAAUCUCUAGAGCUUUCCACAUAAAAUUAUAUUAUCUGUAGGCUAGAGUAAUUUUACCUCUACAUUUCCAAUUUGGAUAGUUUGUUUCUUUUUAAUUCUUAAUUUGACUAGAACUUCCAACACUAUGUGGAAUAGAAAUAGCAAAAGCAGACACCUUUGCCUUGUUCCUGAGCUUAGAGCAGAAGCUUUUUGUCUUUCACCCUGGAGUACAUUGUUUGAUGUGGUUUUUUAAUGUGUGGAUUUCACAAUGGUAGUAUUUUAGUUUUAAAAUUCCUACUUUUUUGAGUGUUUUCACCCUGAAAAGAUUUUGAAUUUCAUAAAAUACUUUUCUCUGCAUCCAUGAGGUGAUCAAUGUUUCUUUUAUUUUGUUAAUGUGUACACAUUGAUCAAUUUUUAUAUGUUAAAAAAUUCAUGUUUUAAGAUAUCCUUGCAUUCUAAGAAUAAAUUGCACUUGGUCGUGGUGAGAUCAUCUUUCUUUUUUUUUAAAUUUUAUUAUUAUUAUACUUUAAGUUAUAGGGUACAUGUGCACAAUGUGCAGGUUAGUUACAUAUGUAUACAUGUGCCAUGCUGGUGUGCUGCACCCAUUAAAUUGUCAUUUAGCAUUAGGUAUAUCUCCUAAAGCUAUCCCUCCCCGCUCCCCCCACCCCACAACAGUCCCCAGAGUGUGAUGUUCCCCUUCCUGUGUCCAUGUGUUCUCAUUGUUCAAUUCCCACCUAUGAGUGAGAAUAUGCAGUGUUUGGUUUUUUGUUCUUGCGAUAGUUUACUGAGAAUGAUGAUUUCCAAUUUCAUCCAUGUCCCUACAAAGGACAUGAACUCAUCAUUUUUUAUGGCUGCAUAGUAUUCCAUGGUGUAUAUGUGCCACAUUUUCUUAAUCCAGUCUAUCGUUGGACAUUUGGGUUGCUUCCAAGUCUUUGCUAUUGUGAAUAGUGCCGCAAUAAACAUACGUGUGCAUGUGUCUUUAUAGCAGCAUUAUUUAUAGUCCUUAGGGUAUACACCCAGUAAUGGGAUGGCUGGGUCAAAUGGUAUUUCUAGUUCUAGAUCCCGGAGGAAUCACCACACUGACUUCCACAAUGGUUGAACUAGUUUACAGUCCCACCAACAGUGUAAAAGUGUUCCUAUUUCUCCACAUCCUCUCCAGCACCUGUUGUUUCCUGACUUUUUAAUGAUUGCCAUUCUAACUGGUGUGAGAUGGUAUCUCAUUGUGGUUUUGAUUUGCAUUUCUCUGAUGGCCAGUGAUGGUGAGCAUUUUUUCAUGUGUUUUUUGGCUGCAUAAAUGUCUUCUUUUGAGAAGUGUCUGUUCAUGUCCUUCUCCCACUUUUUGAUGGGGUUGUUUGUUUUUUUCUUGUAAAUUUGUUUGAGUUCAUUGUAGAUUCUGGAUAUUAGCCCUCUGUCAGAUGAGUAGGUUGCAAAAAUUUUCUCCUAUUUUGUAGGUUGCCUGUUCACUCUGAUGUAGUUUCUUUUGCUAUGCAGAAGCGCUUUAGUUUAAUUAGAUCCUAUUUGUCAAUUUUGGCUUUUGUUGCCAUUGCUUUUGGUGUUUUAGACAUGAAGUCCUUGCCCAUGCCUAUGUCCUGAAUGGUAAUGCCUAGGUUUUCUUCUAGGGUUUUUAUAGUUUUAGGUCUAGCAGAGCCCUCAGAAAUAACACCACAUAUCUACAAUUAUCUGAUCUUUGAUAAACCUGAGAAAAACAAGCAAUGGGGAAAGGAUUCCCUAUUUAAUAAAUGGUGCUGGGAAAACUGGCUAGCCAUACGUAGAAAGCUGAAACUCGAUCCCUUCCUUACACCUUAUACAAAAAUUAAUUCAAGAUGGUGAGAUCAUCUUUCUAAUAUGCUGCUGAAUUUUAUUUGCUGGAAUUUUGUUGAGUUUUGCAUCUGUGUUCAUAAGGGAUAAUUAAUCUGUAGUUUUCUGUAGUGUCUUUUUCUGGCUUUGAUAUACGGUAAUGCUGAGAUUGUGGAAUGAGUUUGGAACUGAUCUCUCCUUUUCAAUUUUUUGGAAGAGUUUGAAAAAGAUUUUCAGUCUUUCAAAAUGUUUGGUAGAAUUAACUACUGAAGCCAUCAGGUCAAGGGCUUUUCUUUGUCAGCAGGUUUUUGAUUUUUGAUUUGAUUUCCUUAUAAGUUAUGGAUCAAUUCAAUUUUUCUAUUCUUGGUAAUCAAGUCUUGCUAGGUUUUUUAUACCUAGAAAUUUGUCCAUUUCAUCUAGAUUGUUCAUUUUGUUGUCACACAGUUGUUCACAGUACACUCUUUAA